rnacentral:tRNA from 1 species
CAGAAAAUAGUUUAUUAAAAUAUUAAUUUUGGAGAUUAAAGAUAAAGAAUUUCUUUUUUUCUGA